rnacentral:rRNA from 1 species
GACGAACGCUGGCGGCGUGCUUAACACAUGCAAGUCGAACGGAAAGGCCUGCUUUCCCUUGUGGAUUGCGGGUACUCGAGUGGCGAACGGGUGAGUAACACGUGAGUGAUCUGCCCCCAACUUGGGUAUAAGCCUGGGAAACUGGGUCUAAUUCCCGAUAGGACUGCAGGGUGGUGCCUGUGGUGGAAAACGAUUUUCUAGUGGUUGGGGCUGAGCUCGCGGCCUAUCAGCUUGUUGGUGGGGUAAUGGCCUACCAAGGCGGCGACGGGUAGCCGGCCUGGGAGGGUGGACGGCCACAUUGGGACUGAGAUACGGCCCAGACUCCUACGGGAGGCAGCAGUGGGGAAUAUUGCACAAUGGGCGGAAGCCUGAUGCAGCGACGCCGCGUGGGGGAUGACGGCCUUCGGGUUGUAAACUCCUUUCGACCGCGAGGAAGCCACCUGGUUGGAAGGGUGGUGACGGUAGUGGGAGAAGAAGCACCGGCUAACUACGUG